GCCAAUGUGGUGUAGUGGUUUGAAUGUUGGUCUACAACUCUGGAGCUCUGGGUUCGAGUCCCUGCUCUGCCA